rnacentral:rRNA from 1 species
UACGGGGGGGGUAAGCGUUGUUCGGAAUUAUUGGGCGUAAAGAGCUCGUAGGCAGUUUGUCACGUCUGCUGUGAAAUCCCGAGGCUCAACCUCGGGCCUGCAGUGGGUACGGGCAGACUGGAGUGCGGUAGGGGAGAAUGGAAUUCCUGGUGUAGCGGUGGAAUGCGCAGAUAUCAGGAGGAACACCGAUGGCGAAGGCAGUUCUCUGGGCCGUAACUGACGCUGAGGAGCGAAAGCGUGGGGAGCGAACAGG